UACGUAGGGUGCAAGCGUUGUCCGGAAUUAUUGGGCGUAAAGAGCUCGUAGGCGGUCUGUCGCGUCUGCUGUGAAAACUCGGGGCUUAACCCCGGGCCUGCAGUGGGUACGGGCAGACUAGAGUGCGGUAGGGGAGACUGGAAUUCCUGGUGUAGCGGUGAAAUGCGCAGAUAUCAGGAGGAACACCGGUGGCGAAGGCGGGUCUCUGGGCCGUAACUGACGCUGAGGAGCGAAAGCGUGGGGAGCGAACAGG
rnacentral:rRNA from 2 species